UCAGAGCGUGUGUCAUUUUCAAAAUCCAGCCCUUUUCAUUUAAGCUAUUUUCUCAUCCCGCUGGUAGCUUGGCUGUAAACAAUGGAAGGCUUCCCACAAUGCCCCUAUGGCUUCCGCCGUAGCUUUGGCGCCACACUUCCGGCGCGCGCUGUGCUGCGCGACUGUCUAACCUCAAGACAGCGUUUUCACUCGUUGGAGAGACCUGGAAGCUAUGGCUUUGGCUCUUUUGUGCCAAUCUGGAAAAGAAAUGCCCAAUAUUAUGACAAUGGGGGUCGUCCCCAUGCUGGGGGCAGCCAGUAGCAGAUCCUGGCAACACGAAAGUGGAGACCAGUGGGUGCACUUCUAAAGCCAGGGAGAUAAACAGAAUAAAUGAGAGAGUGGGCACACAAGAGGAAGAGUGAGUAUGCACCUGCACACUGUAACCAAAAUGACCUCUGGAUCCAAGCAGCUCAGAUUCGUGCAUAUGUGUGUGUGGGAGAAGAAUGGGUAUAAAAUACUAUUAUGUAGCUUUCCCCAUGAUAGGAGAUAAGUGACGGUUACAAUGACAUUGAGAAUGAAAGUAACAACAGAAAUGUGAUGAACUGGGGCAGGUAUACAAGAAAGGAAAACUGGGAACACUCCCUGAAAAGAAAUAUAAAUAAAUAAAGCAAUAAGUCAUGUUCACUAAUAUGAACACGGGCCAAACAAACUGUAAUAGGGCAUAACCUUUGGCUCUCAAAUGGGAAUCCCGUGUCUCAGAUCUUUUCUUUCAGUGGUGGGCUGGCUGGUUACCUUUGGUUUGUCUGUAUUUUGGUAAUGAUUGCUGCCGGGGUGACUACUGUUCUCAGACAAGAAGCAUGAACAAGGCCAAAGUCCCCUUUAAGUUUAAACUGAAAAAUUUACAAUAUAGUUUUCAAAUGAAAGUGCUUUUGACGCUUGGCUAUUUGUUGCGGGAGACGGUGCAAAGAGAGGUUAAACAAAACAAAACCCAGCAACAAA